GGCGUUCAGUUUUUAUCAAGUGCUGCUAGCUAACAAGUAAACAAUCCUUAACUGUACCUAAAUAAAAAUAUAUAUAUAUUGUGUAAGUGAGGCUAAUGAGUUAGUUUUUAACAUUUAACUCAACAAUUAAAAAAACACUACUACUAUACAACUGCAUUUUUUAUGUGUUGUACUUCCUUUAUAGAAGGCAAUAACGUUCCUGUUUACUCAGUAGCAUCUUUUUUUAUGUUAUGCUUAGCCAUAAAUGUCAUUAAUAUUUUGGAAAAAAAAUAUGAUGUAAUUUUAAGAACAGCUUGCUAAAAAUUGAGAGACUAGUAUUUUCCAAUUUGAUAUUUUACAAAGCAACAUAUUUGCAUCAAGGUUAAUCAACAUAAAAAGUAGAUGGUUGCUAAGAAGCUCAGAUUCAAGGACUAAUUUACCAAUCAUUCAAAUGUAUCGGUUUCCAUAUCUUUUGAGGACAGUAACCCUGAAAGGCAAAACACAUAAACAAAUUAGUCUACUCGACGAAAAAAAAAACAUUUAAAGAUCAAAAUUACAAUUAAAAAGACACGUCUUUAGAACACAGCAUUAAGUUUUAGAACAGUGUUUUUCAACCAGUGCGCCUCCAACUGUCUCCGCCAAACAUUCUUGGAGGCUUAAUCAUGUCAUCAGUCUGACCAAUCCUCACUUUUUUGUUGCAACUUGGCUCAUAAAGUCUCACAGUUCCAACAAAAAUAACAUCUAAAGCUUGUGUUUAGCGUUGAAUGUUGUCGAGGAAAAAGUGUACCUUGGCUCAAGAAAGGUUGAAAAACACUGUUUUAGAAAAAAAAAGCAUUUCGGAAAUCAAAAUGUAAUGUUAAUAAUACAUCUAACUGAUAAACUGGAAAAGGUUGGUACUAUGGGACAUCGCUGAUUGGAUGAUGAUAUCCAGUAUCACCUAAUGUCAAUGGCUGUAUAAAUUUGACUCUUUCUAUAUACAGUACAAUUUACAGUCCUAGAGUCAAUGCUUAAUGCCAAAUGAUUCACAGUUGAAAUGACAAACAUCUACGUCCAGUCAGCGACUUCCCAUAGUAUCAACCUUUUCCUGCUUCUCAUUGUGUUUUGUCUUUUAUUUAUAUAUAUACAUAGUAUAUACCCUGAAUGUUUCAGGGUCGGGUAUUGUGGGAGGGGUGGGGACAGGAUGUAAUGGACAUUUGCUUGUUUUUAAAUGUUUAUGUUUUCUUUCUUUAUGCUUCUUAUGUUCAGCGCUUUGAGCUGGCGUGAGCCAUGAAAACUGCUUCAUAAUUAAAGAUUUGAUUUGAUUUUAUAUAUAUAUUUAUUUAUUUUUAUUUUUUUCAGGGAAAUUACUUUUGUUUUUCAAAUUUUUGUUUUGUUUUACAUUUUGGUCUGGAAUUUUGUUUAAUUUUCUAAAAUGUAAUGCCUUAUUUUAAAAUAUUUGUUUUGAUUUUUUGUGGUAGUGAUCAUCAAAAUGUUUUUGCAUUGAAGGAUUUGUUGAUGUGAUUUGCACUUUAGGGCUGUCGUAUGAGUAUUUGCUGAGGUAACACUUUAUGUGCUGCAAAACACUCCAUAUAAGGUUGACAAAGAUAGUUAAUACAUUUGUUAAGCUUGUAAGUAUCUUAUUAAUAUGCCAUUUGUUGACAAUGGCCUCACUUCAGAUGUUAAUGAAUCUUACUAAGUACAUUAAUAAACCUUAUUUGGAUUAUUUUGCUAAAUGUCUUACUAACCCCCUAUAAGCACAUUAAUAAUGUUUGUUAAUGUGUUAAUAAAGCUGGUUAAGGACUCUUAUUAUAAAGUGCUACCGGAUCUUAUUCAAACUAUUCACAAGUAAUAAUAUUAACAGUGUCAAAAUGUGUAUUGUUGCUUUACAAGACGCUGUUUGCAAACUUUAGUACAUAAAUAUCAACAUUUAUGAGGUUAGAAAAUGCCUCCAGGAAUGUGAGUGUCUCCAAGUAGUGAGAUAUGUGAAGAGAUAUUGUUAGAGAACAUGAAGCUUCUCAAUAAAAGUUAGACUAUUACUAUGAGAAAUUGCUUUUCUUUUAUAGCCCAUCAUUUAAAGGUGUCCAGCUGUGGUUACUUUAUCCUCUUCAGGGUUGCAGGAAGACUUCAGCGGAGCCGCAAUAUCAUUAGAAGACAACUCACACAGCCAUUAGAGGUCUCCUGUUUGUAACAGAUCCAUAGAGGGAACAGCGAGGAAAACAGUUUGUACUCUACUCAUCAGAAAAUAUUAAGCAGCCAGGGCAUCAUAAUCACUCAUUAUAACACCUUUCCUUACUGCACAAAUACAUGCCUUAAAGUUAAUGUGAAAAACUUUAUUAUUUGGGAUUAUACAUACUUUAUAGUGAUGGAGAGAUCAUAGAUUGCAGGCUGUGCUUUGUGACAAUGAUGGAAGCUUAUUACAGCUGCUUUGGACAAUGAAGCUUCUCAGUUACUUUGUCAUCAAACUGUUUUUAAAUACAUGUUGUGACACUUUUGCACAAUGAAGAAGUUGACAGCUGAACCUGUUACAUUUCUCUUUGAACAUGAGCUGUCACCUCAGUGAUACCGGCUUUCAAAAACAUUAGAUGACAGGAGAGUAAAAACUGCAGAACCCUCCUUAGAUUGAUGAGACUUUCUUGAAAAAGAGCUGCAGACAAAAAGGACUGUUAGCUGCUGACACUCCAGUUUGAACAAAAAAAUAAAGAAAAAA